GGCACAGGAUCUCGCGUUGUCUGGGGAAAGAGCGGCGCUGAGGUCUUUACGGUGGCGUUGUGGGAACCGCCCACCACCUCUCCUUUAAAUCUUCUUUCUUUCUUCUUUUUUUCUCUGUCUUUUCUCUGUCCUCUCAGCCUCAGUGUAGACAGUGAGCGAAAGAGCUCAAGGCCGGCAGCUCUGUGGAAGAGUUAUGGCUGCCAUGGUCGCGCAGCCGGUGCCUCAGAGUGAAAGUAGCAGAAGCCACACCGUCGAUCGUCUUAAGAUGCUAGGGUUUGCUUUGGCCUUCCCCCUUUUUUAUGAUGCUAUGCAAACCAAAAAGAAAAAAAAAAGAAAAAAAAAUCACCUUGGCGCACGGCGCCUGCGCAGUGCUUGUUUACCGCGGGCCGAGCGCAGGCCCCUUCCCUCCGCCCAGAUCCUGCGCCUGCGCCUGCGCGGCUGACGUGGAUUUCUCCGGGAAAACCGCGCCUCCUAGUCCCGGGACUAGGGAGCGAGCAGCGGAGUGUGCCGUGGGAAUCUCGGAGCCCUGAAAUGAGAACCACAACGCCCAGAGUCGGUGUCGCGGCAGGAUCGUGAGCACAGAUGACCCAGGUGCUGUGCACGCCACCGUCGCUGAAGUGAGCAGCGGAGCGUGAGAGCGAAGACCGGCGGCGCUGACGCCUCAAAGGAUGGACUUUGUUUAGCAAAGAUGCAAAUAAGCCUGACCCUAAGGCCGCCGGAGUUCGAGCAAUUCCUGACUGGGCUAAGACUGUUCUUGAAGGCGACUCAGAAAGGCGGCCAUGCAAAUUUUGAAACUAGAAAGAGCUGACACUAGAAGCAGUAGCCCUUUAAAGCAGAAGCCAGUUAGUUCAUAAGAGUCUGAAUGUCCCUUCAAAGUCCGCUCUAAAUAGACUCAGACAGUGCACAUAAAAUAUUGUCUGAUAAGCAUAGAUUAUUUUAGAUAUGGUUAUCCAUUUGCAAGUAGAGGCAAACUGAUUUGUGAAGGAAUUUCUAUUGAUACAUUCCAGUACGUUCAAAAAAAAAUUAAUAACUGGCAACUUAGCUAAGCCUGAGCAUUUUUCUAGUUUUCAAAACAAUGGAAUUUAUUUGGCAAUUUUAUUAGACCCUAUUUUUUGACCGGUGAGAUUGAAGUCUUUAGAUUUGUAACAUUUUUCUACCAGAAAAGUGAGAUUUUUAACCAGUAAGAAGGGGGAAAUGUAUGUAUGUGAACAGAAGAGGUCAGAACUUGAAGACUUGUCAUGCUUCCAACAUUUGUCUCAAGAGAAGCUAUCAUCUCACCUCGGAUUUUUUUUUUUUAUGUUCAAUAUAAUAGUAAAAUUUAGCAUACUUUGAACAUUUUUUUUCCUAUACAAUCUGGGUAUGGUGGUACAUUGAAGAAGAAAAAAAAUGGGGUUUGUAGAUCAGUUGGUAGGCUCCUUGCCUAAAAGCCACGGAUUUAUGCAGAACUGAGUAAAAUGGGACUUGGUGGUAGACCUAUAGAGGCAGGAUCAGAAGUUCAGGGCAAUCCCCACCUACGUAGUCAUAAACCAGCCUGGGCUACAUGAAACGCUGUUUUAAACAAAGAAACAGGUUCUCUAUUAUAGAUAAGAACAAUAGCUUACUUGAGGUAGAAUGAUAACCAGUUUUCCACACCUAUAUUGACCUGACAUUUCCUUCAUAAGAGAGAAAAUACAGAGAGGGUGAAUGAAUUUCUUGUUCAUAUUUAUGACUAGACUAACUCAAAAAGGGCUUCCUUUGUUAAGACUGACAUCUGUCCUCAAAGAAGCUAUCACUGCAGAUUGUAGUGGUUGGUUGUUUUUUGAGAGAGGGUCUUGCUAUGUAAUGGAGAAUGGCUUCAAAUUUGGAAUCCUCUUGUCUCAUUCUCCCAAGUGCGGGGACUACAGAGGUACGCCACCUUAGCCACCCUAAAGGAUUGCAUUGAACAGUAUAAUCUGGCUCUAAUGGAAAGUCUGUAUGGGAGUUAGAUGAAGAGUCCAUCAGGGCUGCAGAGAUGGCUCAGCGAUGAAAAGCAGUCGCUGCUCUUGAAGACAACUGGAGUCCAAUUCCUACUGCCCACAUGGCAGCUCAUAAACUCUGAGAACUCCAACUCCAGGGGAUCCAAUACCCUUUCCUGGCCAGCGUGGGAACCACACGUGAUGCAUGUAAAUGCACACAGCAAACAAUUUUUUUGUCUUUUUUUUUUUCUUCAAGAGAUAAAAGUCUGACCUUCAUCUUCAAAGCUAGUUUCUGGGAGGCUUAGGAGUUUCAGGUGUUCAAAGCCAGCCUAAGGAGUGCAGCAAAACAUUGUCUCAAACAACCUGGCAAUGGAGAACAACAGAAAACACAAAAAGACAAUUAAAAGGUUGCUGGGCUGUCACGACUACUCAGUGAGUAUAUGCAUUUGCCACCAAGUGCAGAUGACCUGAAUUUGAUCCCCUGGAUGAACACAGUGGAAGGGGAUAACCUACUCUUAAAGAUUGUCCUCUGGCCUCUACAUGUGGGCUGUAGUGUCUUUACACUCAAACACUAAAUGUAAGACAUUUGGAUUUAAAAGAAAGUGAAGCCUUGAGUUUCUAACUUGCCUACAUGUGAUAAAAAUUAGUGUAGGCCUGGUAAGUGAUCAAACAAAAUGUCUUUCUUCAUUGAAAAGGAAUCCUUUGGUGAAGAAUUAAACCAGAGUAAUGGUCACCCACUUAGUCUCCCGUGUAACUCAGAAAAUAUACCUAGCAAAGAUUUUACAGUCAGUAACUGAAAAAACUGACAGUGUCAUUUCUGCAGCCAACUUUUUAGGCAGAUUUGCCUGUGAUUGCCAUGACCUCAUAAAGUACUAAAAAGUCUGCUGUCAUUUGUGUCUACGUAUUGACAAAAUACACACAAGUUCUUGGUAUUUCUGGUGGGGGCAGGGUGGGCAACUUUUUUUUCUUUUUAAAAUCCUUGCUGUCACUUUGAGUUCUAUGCUUUCGGACAUACAAGGCCCUUGUUAUGCUUUAAGAAGGAAUGACGUGAGCUGGGUGUGGUGACACAUGCACCUUUAAUCUCAGCACUCCAGAGGCAGAGGCAGGAAGAGCUAGCUCAGUGAGUAUGAAACCAGCCUGGUCUACAUAUGCAUAGCUAAGACUACAUAGACCCUUGUCUAUAAAUAAAUAAAUAAAUAAAUAAAUAAAU
ensembl:antisense 2810454H06Rik RIKEN cDNA 2810454H06 gene